rnacentral:rRNA from 1 species
UACGUAGGGGGCUAGCGUUGUCCGGAAUCAUUGGGCGUAAAGCGCGUGUAGGCGGCUCGGUAAGUCCGCUGUGAAAGUCGGGGGCUCAACCCUCGGAUGCCGGUGGAUACUGUCGGGCUAGAGUACGGAAGAGGCGAGUGGAAUUCCUGGUGUAGCGGUGAAAUGCGCAGAUAUCAGGAGGAACACCAAUGGCGAAGGCAGCUCGCUGGGACGUUACUGACGCUGAGACGCGAAAGCGUGGGGAGCAAACAGG